UAACUAUAAAACAUAACUAUGUAAAUGGAAUCAACAAAAUAAAAGCUAUAGUCGAGACAAAAGUACUAGUUCGGAUGUGAAAUAUGGACAAAUAUAUAUUUGAAAUAUAUAUAUAUAUAAGUCCAUAAUAUUAUUAAUUAAG